UCCUACGGGAGGCAGCAGUGGGGGAUAUUGCGCAAUGGGGAAACCCUGACGCAGCAACGCCGCGUGAGUGAAGGAGGCCUUCGGGUCGUAAAACUCUGUGACAGGGGAAGAAGAAAGUGACGGUACCCUGAGAGGAAGCCCCGGCUAACUACGUGCCAGCAGCCGCGGUAA
rnacentral:rRNA from 1 species